rnacentral:lncRNA from 1 species
AUGGGGUCUAGGAGGACCUCGACAGCCCAGGAGCGCCGACGCACAGCGCUGGUGUCCAACUCAUCCAGGUUGUCCUGCAUCUGGCUGCCCUGGAGGCCAUUGUGUGUGUUGUCCGGUGUUAGCCGGGGGGAUGGGGCGUUGCCUCCACUGGAUGAGCUCCUGCGGGAGCGGAUUGACAGGCUUCUGCGUCUGAGUGGACUGCCGUCUCCUUUGUCAGAGCAAUACUCAGUGGUCUCCACCUCAGGCACAACAGCACUGGACGAGCUCCUGCGGGAGCGGGGAGACAAGCUCUGGCGUCUGGGUGGGCUCUCAUCUCUCAACUGUGCAUUCUUCUCUGUGGUCUCCACCUCGGGUAUUACGGUCUCGUCUGAGGAUGGUUCAGAGCUCAGGUACUGGAGGAUGGGGCCAAGGAGGACCUCGGCAGCCAAGGAUCGGCGACGCAAAGCACUGGUAGAAGAGAUGUCCAGGAUGUCGAACUCCACAGAGAGAGGCUGGUCAUUCCUCAUCUGGCUGCCCUGGCAGACAUUUGAUGAGUUGCCAGCACUUGAUGAGCUUCUGCGAGAGUGGACAGACAGGCUCUUGCAUCUGGGUGGGCUCUCGUCUCUGACUUCUGUGUUCUCGGUGUUGUCCACCUCGGGUACAACAGGCUCCUCUAAGGGUGGCUCAGAGCUAAUGUACUGGAGGAUGGAACCUAGGAGGACCUCGGCAGCCGAGGAGGGGCGACGCACGGUGCUGGUAGAAGGAAGCUCUGGGGGUCCAGCUCCCGAGAGAGAGGCUGGUCGUCUGGCUUCUGGCUGCCCCAGCGAGAGAGAGGCUGGUCAUCUGGCUUCUGGCUGCCCCGGCGAGAGAGAGGUUGGUCGUCUGGCAUCUGGCUGCCCCGGCGAGAGAGGGGCUGGACAUCCAAUACCAGCACUUGAUGAGCUUCUGUGGGAGCCCGCAGACAGGCUGUUGCUUCUGGAUGGGCUCACGUCUCUUGCAUCUAGAGUAGUACUCAGUGCUCUCCCCCUCGAGUGCAACGGCCUCAUCUGA